GAUGAACGCUGGCGGCGUGCCUAAUACAUGCAAGUCGAGCGGACGGACGAGAAGCUUGCUUCUCUGAUGUUAGCGGCGGACGUGAGAGUAACACGUGUAUAACCUACCUAUAAUACUGGGAUCACCUCGAGAAACCGGCUCUAAUACCGGAUAAUCUCUUGAACCGCAGUGUUGAAUAGUGAAAGACGGUCUUGCUGUCACUUAUAGAUGGAUCCGCGCUGCAUUAGCUGGUUGGUAAGUUAACGGGUUACCAAGGGGACGAUGCAUAGCCGACCGGAGGGGGUGAUCGGCCACCCUAGAAGUUAGACGGGGUCCAGGCUCCUAAGAGACGCAGCAGUAGCGAAUCGGCCGCAAUGGGCGAGAACCUGACGGAGCAACGCCGCGUCUGUGGUGACAACCCUGGGAUCGUAAAAAUCUGUUUUUAGGUGUGAACAGAUGUGUAAGUUGCUGAACACAUAGUGACGGUACCUAAUAAGAAAGCACCGGCUAACUACGUG
rnacentral:rRNA from 1 species